rnacentral:misc_RNA from 1 species
UUCUUCGAGCCCUUGACACUGUUGGUUUGUCUCUAUCUCUAUUAUCUUUAACCUUACCAAUUUGGUGCGAUUUUUCUUACAUCAUCAGGUGUCAAAUUGGAUUUGAAGUUGCUAUCUUUAGCAAUAGAUCUAUUUUAUUAAAUACUCAGGAGAAUUUUAAGCUGAAGGCAAGUAUAUAUCAGCUUAGGUUGGGUUGAAACUGAGUGAGGUCCCUUUUUCUCUUUGCAUUUUUCAGCAUGAGAAUUUGUUUCAUUCAUGGUUGUAUAAGCAAACAGGAGGCUUGAUUACAUUUCAAAUGCCUUUAAUAAUCUUCUGCUUGCAAUGAAUGCCAAUUGUUGGAUCUGAGAUAAUAUUUUAGUUUUACAUUUAAGAAGAUGGAUCUUGUCAUUGUGAAAAUGGACUAGUACAUCAUGCCAAGCGGCCCCAUGUUGCAUGGUAGAACCAGAAACUCUCAGGCCACCAUGUUGUGCAGGGUUUGAGAAGAUAGAGAAGAGAAAUAUAGGUUUUAUUUUAGGAAAAAUUGUUAUUUAGUCUUUCUAUUUUAACGAAGUUAACUACUUGGUCCUACUAUUUUAAAAAAUACAUUAGUUAGUCCCCGCAUUUUUGUUGUGCCUAUUCUUUAGUCCUUAUACGAAGUUUAAAUCAAGUUUUUUGUUGGUCAAUGUAUUCAAAUGAGAGAUAUUAUUGUAUAGUUCAUGGUUUAAAAAAUAACAAGACUAUAUAAUUGUCUUUUUAAAAUUACAGGGUCUGAAUGAAAUUCAAACUAACAACUAAAAUGACUAGAUGAACUAAAAAGUAAACAGAACAAAAAUAAAGGAACUAACUAAUAUAUUCUUCAAAAUAUGAAGACCAAAUAGUUAGUUUCUUUAAAAUAGUGAGACUAAAUAGUAAUUUUUCCUCUUAAAAAAAUAAUGAAAUCCCUAAUGGGUCUCCCUUACAUCAAUCUAACUCUGGAAAAGUCUAGGUACGGAUAUUCACCAUCAAUAUAGCUUCUCGCCUAUGUCUAAUAUAAUCCUCUAGUCAACACAGAUUGGUAAACGACCCAACCCAAGAGCUUCUCUCUCUCUCUCUCUCUCU